UACGAAGGGGGCUAGCGUUGCUCGGAAUUACUGGGCGUAAAGCGCACGUAGGCGGAUUGUUAAGUCGGGGGUGAAAUCCUGGAGCUCAACUCCAGAACUGCCUUCGAUACUGGCGAUCUCGAGUCGGAGAGGUGAGUGGAACUGCGAGUGUAGAGGUGAAAUUCGUAGAUAUUCGGAAGAACACCAGUGGCGAAGGCGGCUCACUGGUCCGGUACUGACGCUGAGGUGCGAAAGCGUGGGAGC
rnacentral:rRNA from 1 species